rnacentral:tRNA from 1 species
CAGGGAGACAACAAAAUGUAAAUAUUAAUUUUGUCACCUUAGGUCGAUCGGUAUCUCAGAUUCUUAUUUUUAAAGAAUUUCAGUUUCUAAGUUUUUUCUAGGUCACACCCAUUACUUUUUCCUGGGCCAUUAGCUCAGGUGGUUAGAGCGCACCCCUGAUAAGGGUGAGGUCCCUGGUUCAAGUCCAGGAUGGCCCAUAUCUCUAUGUUGGGGGUAUAGCUCAGUUGGUAGAGCGCCUGCUUUGCAAGCAGGAUGUCAGCGGUUCGAGUCCGCUUACCUCCACUGAAUACCACUUCUUACAUAUAUAUAAAGAUGGAAAUUGUUUUGUGUCGUGUCCUAAUUUGCUCUGAGCGAAUCUAGCUUCCUAUUUUAUUCAAUAAAUAAGAUGCUGGACUCAUUGAAUUUUUUUCAUUGUUUUUCAGAGAACCUUGACAACUGCAUAGAUUAUUUUUGAAGACAAUAAGCAUCUUUAAUGAUGCAGAUUUAUUAUUUGUGCUAAUGCAUUAAAUAACAAUUCUAUUAAGCUGAUGCUUCAAUUAUGAAGUUAUU